rnacentral:rRNA from 1 species
UAUAAAGUGGCGAACGGCUGAGUAACACGUGGGCAACCUGCCCUUUGCACUGGGAUAGCCUCGGGAAACCGAGGUUAAUACCGGAUACUCCAUAUUUGUCGCAUGGCGAAUAUGGGAAAGCUCCGGCGGCAAAGGAUGGGCCCGCGGCCUGUUAGCUAGUUGGUGGGGUAGUGGCCUACCAAGGCAAUGAUGGGUAGCCGGGUUGAGAGACCGACCGGCCAGAUUGGGACUGAGACACGGCCCAGACUCCUCGGGAGGCAGCAGUA